rnacentral:rRNA from 1 species
GGAUGCGAUCAUACCAGCACUAAAGCACCGGAUCCCAUCAGAACUACGAAGUUAAGUGUGCUUGGGCGAGAGUAGUACUAUGAUGGGUGACCUCCUGGGAAGUCCUCGUGUUGCAUUCC